UCCCUGAUGUCCAUUCACUGGCCUGAAUUCCUUGCAGCUCCCAGCUGGGGAAACCUGGGAGAACAUGGCAGGGACAGAGGUGACAUUUGUAGCUGCAAACUUGGGAUAAUUUCAAGGGGACCCAGCAACUGUUUCUGAAGGAAAAGAUGCUGGAAUUGCCUCUCUGGAUGUGUGCUGAGCUCUGGCUGCAGGGGACUGUCAGGCCUUGGUGGCUCCUCCUUGCAGCCCCCAGCCAGGAAAACCUGGGAUAACUUAGCUGGGACAGAGGUAACAUCUUAGCUGCAAACUUGGGGUAAUUUCUAGUGGAUACAGCCACUGUUUUUGUAGGGAAGUGUGUUUAACCACAUUGGCCUAAGUUGUGUUUGCACCAGCUGGAGCCAGAGGUGCCAGGCAAUCCAAAGCAAACCCUGCUCAGCCUCUAAAUCUCAGGGGAAGUUCUCCAAGCUGCUCAUUGAGGGACUAAAGAUACAUUGAAAUCGAACCACGUGCACUAAUAAGGAAACUGGGAAUCCCAGUAGUGUUGUCCUAGAACUUUUAACAGCUUUUUAAGCUUUUUAUGACAAGAAUGGCUUUCUUCCUUUGAUUGAAUUCUGCAGUAGGAUUUGGGGUUUC